rfam:Ruminococcus sp. YE71 genome assembly, contig: IE40DRAFT_scaffold00003.3
GGCCGGUUGGUCAAGCGGUUAAGACUUCGGCCUCUCACGCCGACAACACGAGUUCGAAUCUCGUACCGGUCA